AUAUCGUUCGGAAUACCAAUAGCGAAGGCAGACUUCUGGGUGCCACCUGACACUGCUAGGACGAAAGCGUGGGGAGCGAAUGGGAUUAGAUACCCCAGUAGUCCACGCUGUAAACGAUGUACAUUCGCUGCUAGGGAGUAUCGACCCUUCUUAGUAGCUAAGCUAACGCGUUAAAUGUACCGCCUGGGGAGUACGGUCGCAAGACUAAAACUCAAAGGAAUUGACGGGGACCCGCACAAGCGGUGGAGCAUGUGGUUUAAUUCGACGAUAAGCGAGGAACCUUACCAAGGCUUGACAUGUAGCUGCAUCUCUCAGAAAUGAGAGCGCCUUCGAGGGUGCUACACAGGUGCUGCACGGUUGUCGUCAGCUCGUGCCGUGAGGUGUUCACUUAAGUGUGAUAACGAGCGCAACCCCUAUUACCAGUUACAAGUGUCUGGUGAAACUGCCGGCGUUUAAGCCGGAGGAAGGUGGGGAUGACGUCAAAUCAGCGUGGCUCUUACGCCUUGGGCGACACACGUGCUACAAUGGGAUGUUACAAAAGGACGCCAAGGAGCAAUCCGGAGCAAAUCCUCUAAACCAUCCCCCAGUUCGGAUUGAGGGCUGCAACUCGCCCUCAUGAAGCCGGAAUCGCUAGUAACCGUAGAUCAGCCUCGCUACGGUGAAUACGUUCUCGGGUCUUGUACACACCGCCCGUCAAGCCAUGGAAGUGGGUAGCGGAUGAAGCG
rnacentral:rRNA from 1 species